CCGUGCUGCCACCUCCGGCAACUUCUCCGUCGACAGGUUUUGAAGUGGAUUUUCCCCCCAUACUUCUAUUAGUACUAUACUAUCAUUAAUUUUUAUUAUAUAUUACUAGUUUAAAGUAUUUUGUAUUAGUAUUACACUAUUACUACUAUACUAUUAUUCAGUAUUGAAAAUUAUGGAUAUCUAAAAAUAUAUGAAAUUUAUAUAAUUGUUUAUUAAUUACCAAAACACCCCUGGCGUCUGAAGCGCGUCUAAGAGGCAGUGCGCCAGGUCCUGGCAAACAGCACGAUCAUGUAUUUACAAGCUUGGGGGUGCCUCGUAAUUCAAAAAAGCGAAAAGCGCCUUCACUUUUCAAGAGGCAUAAACGUCACAUAGGAAACAUUGGUCAUUAUCAUUCCUCAAUCCAAUUAUAAGGAUUUAAUUUGAUUUAGGAAUCCAAUUCAGGAUAAUCGACUAAGGAUUGUCAUGGACUGUAGGUCUGACUAAAUUAGGGGUUUGGCUCACUAGUAUGGUAAUUUGCAAACCGUCACCCCUUUUUUCUUCUAUGGUUGACCAAGCCAAAGAUAGAAACCAAGGUUUUCUAUGCGUCUAUGCGUUCAUGCGAUG
rnacentral:lncRNA from 1 species